rnacentral:tRNA from 1 species
GCCUAGUUGGUGGAAUGGCAGACACGCUAGCUUCAGGUGCUAGUGAGCGCAAGCUCAUGCAAGUUCAAGUCUUGUACUAGGCA